rnacentral:rRNA from 1 species
CUUGGUCAUUUAGAGGAAGUAAAAGUCGUAACAAGGUCUCCGUUGGUGAACCAGCGGAGGGAUCAUUACCGAGUUUACAACUCCCAAACCCCUGUGAACAUACCAAUUGUUGCCUCGGCGGAUCAGCCCGCUCCCGGUAAAACGGGACGGCCCGCCAGAGGACCCCUAAACUCUGUUUCUAUAUGUAACUUCUGAGUAAAACCAUAAAUAAAUCAAAACUUUCAACAACGGAUCUCUUGGUUCUGGCAUCGAUGAAGAACGCAGCAAAAUGCGAUAAGUAAUGUGAAUUGCAGAAUUCAGUGAAUCAUCGAAUCUUUGAACGCACAUUGCGCCCGCCAGUAUUCUGGCGGGCAUGCCUGUUCGAGCGUCAUUUCAACCCUCAAGCCCCCGGGUUUGGUGUUGGGGAUCGGCGAGCCCUUGCGGCAAGCCGGCCCCGAAAUCUAGUGGCGGUCUCGCUGCAGCCUCCAUUGCGUAGUAGCUAACACCUCGCAACUGGAACGCGGCGCGGCCAAGCCGUUAAACCCCCAACUUCUGAAUGUUGACCUCGGAUCAGGUAGGAAUACCCGCUGAACUUAAGCAUAUCAAUAAGCGGAG